rnacentral:rRNA from 1 species
AUUGAACGCUGGGGGAAGCCUUAACACUUCCAGUUGGAACGGAGCACGGGGGCCGGCCUGGUGGCGAGUGGCCGAAGGGGGGAUUAUUACUUGGAACGUGGCCGGUUGGGGGGGGUAAACUAGCGAAAGUUGCGCCAAUUACGCCAAAGAUCCGGGGGUGGAAGGGGGGGAACCUCCGGCCCUGCGCGAUCCGGGCGGCCGGAGGUCAGAUUAGGUAGUUGGUGGGGUAAAGGCCUACCAAGCCGACGAUCUGUAGCUGGUCUGAGAGGACGACCAGCCACACUGGGACUGAGACACGGCCCAGACUCCUACGGGAGGCAGCAGUGGGGAAUUUUGGACAAUGGGCGCAAGCCUGAUCCAGCCAUUCCGCGUGCAGGACGAAGGCCUUCGGGUUGUAAACUGCUUUUGUACGGAACGAAAAGGCUCUGGCUAAUACCUGGGGCUCAUGACGGUACCGUAAGAAUAAGCACCGGCUAACUACGUG